UGGGGAAUAUUGCACAAUGGGCGCAAGCCUGAUGCAGCCAUGCCGCGUGUAUGAAGAAGGCCUUCGGGUUGUAAAGUACUUUCAGCGAGGAGGAAGGCAUUAAGGUUAAUAACCUUAGUAUGAUGUAUCUCGCAGAAGAAGCACCGGCUAACUCCGUGCCAGCAGCCGCGGUAAUACGGAGGGUGCAAGCGUUAAUCGGAAUUACUGGGCGUAAAGCGCACGCAGGCGGUCUGUCAAGUCGGAUGUGAAAUCCCCGGGCUCAACCUGGGAACUGCAUUCGAAACUGGCAGGCUAGAGUCUUGUAGAGGGGGUAGAAUUCCAGGUGUAGCGGUGAAAUUGCGUAGAGAUCUGGAGGAAUACCGGUGGCGAAGGCGGCCCCCUGGACAAAGACUGACGCUCAGGUGCGAAAGCGUGGGAGCAAACA
rnacentral:rRNA from 1 species